UUGAAUCGACGGUCUUGGAGUCCUCUUUGGAGUUGAUUCCUCGACCUUACCUACCCCUGUGCACUGUAAACGUUUUUUGGGACGGUCAGCAAUGGCGGUCCCAGCAGUACAAACUCUAUGUAAUUUGUCUGAACUGAACCAAAGAAUCGUAA
rnacentral:misc_RNA from 1 species